rnacentral:rRNA from 1 species
UGGGUUAAGUCCCGCAACGAGCGCAACCCUUGUUAUUAGUUGCCAGCAUUUAGUUGGGCACUCUAAUGAGACUGCCGGUGAUAAACCGGAGGAAGGUGGGGACGACGUCAGAUCAUCAUGCCCCUUAUGACCUGGGCAACACACGUGCUACAAUGGGAAGUACAACGAGUCGCAAACCGGCGACGGUAAGCUAAUCUCUUAAAACUUCUCUCAGUUCGGACUGGAGUCUGCAACUCGACUCCACGAAGGCGGAAUCGCUAGUAAUCGCGAAUCAGCAUGUCGCGGUGAAUACGUUCCCGGGUCUUGUACACACCGCCCGUCAAAUCAUGGGAGUCGGAAGUACCCAAAGUCGCUUGGCUAACUUUUAGAGGCCGGUGCCUAAGGUAAAAUCGAUGACUGGGAUUAAGUCGUAACAAGGUAGCCGUAGGAGAACCUGCGGCUGGAUCACCUCCUUUCUAAGGA